CAGUCGAACGAUGAUCUCCCGCUUGCGGGGGUGAUUAGUGGCGAACGGGUGAGUAAUACGUGAGUAACCUGCCCUUGACUCUGGGAUAAGCCUGGGAAACCGGGUCUAAUACUGGAUACGACCCCCUGUCGCAUGGUGGGGGGUGGAAAGGGUUUGACUGGUUUUGGAUGGGCUCACGGCCUAUCAGCUUGUUGGUGGGGUAAUGGCUCACCAAGGCGACGACGGGUAGCCGGCCUGAGAGGGUGACCGGCCACACUGGGACUGAGACACGGCCCAGACUCCUACGGGAGGCAGCAGUGGGGAAUAUUGCACAAUGGGCGGAAGCCUGAUGCAGCGACGCCGCGUGAGGGAUGACGGCCUUCGGGUUGUAAACCUCUUUCAGCAGGGAAGAAGCCACAAGUGACGGUACCUGCAGAAGAAGCGCCGGCUAACUACGUGCCAGCAGCCGCGGUAAUACGUAGGGCGCAAGCGUUGUCCGGAAUUAUUGGGCGUAAAGAGCUCGUAGGCGGUUUGUCGCGUCUGCUGUGAAAGCCCGGGGCUCAACCCCGGGUCUGCAGUGGGUACGGGCAGACUAGAGUGCAGUAGGGGAGACUGGAAUUCCUGGUGUAGCGGUGAAAUGCGCAGAUAUCAGGAGGAACACCGAUGGCGAAGGCAGGUCUCUGGGCUGUUACUGACGCUGAGGAGCGAAAGCAUGGGGAGCGAACAGGAUUAGAUACCCUGGUAGUCCAUGCCGUAAACGUUGGGCACUAGGUGUGGGGGACAUUCCACGUUCUCCGCGCC
rnacentral:rRNA from 1 species